rnacentral:rRNA from 1 species
AGUGAACGCUGGCGGUAGGCCUAACACAUGCAAGUCGAACGGCAGCACAGUAAGAGCUUGCUCUUACGGGUGGCGAGUGGCGGACGGGUGAGGAAUACAUCGGAAUCUACUUUUUCGUGGGGGAUAACGUAGGGAAACUUACGCUAAUACCGCAUACGACCUACGGGUGAAAGCAGGGGAUCUUCGGACCUUGCGCGAUUGAAUGAGCCGAUGUCGGAUUAGCUAGUUGGCGGGGUAAAGGCCCACCAAGGCGACGAUCCGUAGCUGGUCUGAGAGGAGGAUCAGCCACACUGGAACUGAGACACGGUCCAGACUCCUACGGGAGGCAGCAGUGGGGAAUAUUGGACAAUGGGCGCAAGCCUGAGCCAGCCAUACCGCGUGGGUGAAGAAGGCCUUCGGGUGGUAAAGCCCUUUUGUUGGGAAAGAAAAGCAGCAGGUUAAUACCCCGCUGUUCUGACGGUACCCAAAGAAUAAGCACCGGCUAACUUCGU